rnacentral:lncRNA from 10 species
AACUGAAAGCUCGGAAAGCGAAACCGUGGAUAAGCAGGGGAACUGUGGCAUCCCAUUUAAAAUUGCUUCUGAAGAGAAGCAUGAGGUUACAUCUGUAAUCUCCCUGCAGCAGAGUCAACUGCAUAAGAAACCAAAAGACACACCUGCUCCAUGCCAGGUCUGUUCUGAAAAAUUGAGAAGAUGAUCUAUCUUCACUUCAAAAAGAAAUCUCUAAGGAGCAAGUGGACACAGCCUGCCUCCCAUAAGCUGUCUGGCUCACUCAUUUUAUUCCUGGAAAUCAGCAUUUCUCCAUUUUCUGUCUUCAGAAGUCAAUCAUUUCCUGAGAAAUGAGGAAAAAGAUGGAGGUCACAGAGACCAGUAAGAGCAAGGAGGGAGAGGAAAAAGCUGAACAUGAAACUCGAGGAAGAAACAGAAUAUGCAGAGGAAUAAAAAAAGUGAGUAGAUCUCUAGAGACAGAAAGUAGAUUAGCGGUUGCCUAGGGCUGGGGAGCAGGAAGAAUAGGGAGUAGGACAGGCAGCAUGACAGGCCCCCCAAAGAUGUCCAUGUCCUCAUCUGUGGAACCUGUGAAUGUUAUGUGGCCAGGGGGAAUUAAGGUUGCUAAUCAAGCGACCUCAAAAUAAAGAGGGUAUCUUGAAUUAUCCAGGUGAGCACAUUGUACUCACAAGAGUCCUUAUAUAGGGAAGAGGCAGAAGUCAGAUCAGAAAGAGAACAUCCUAAGACUUGACCAGCCAUUGCUGGCUUUGAAGAUGGA